AUGCCUGCAAGGGGGGACGCUCAGCACCGCGGUUGGCGGCGGCCCAGGGAGGGGGGUGCCGGGGGAGCGGCGUUAGCGGGGAGGUGAGUUGGGAAAGAAACAAACACCGAGGAAGCGAGAGGAGCCGCUGCAGGUUCCUGUUGCCCUUUCACAGCCCAAACGCCGUGCUCAAGGUGCAGCGCCUGGCUCCCCUGCCGGGUCAGGCAGCACAGGCCGAGGGACUGCAGCGCGGUGCCUGAGGUGAGCCCCCCGCCAACAGCCCGACCUGAGGCCCUUCCAGGACCCCCAUGGGCACAGCAGGAGGGUGUCUCGAGGGUCUCGCUCUGCUGGCCUUUCAGCAGUCCCUUGCAGCGCAAGCGAUGAAGCAAUCAGCGUACAUGGGAGGAAGCCCGGGUCAUCUGAGACCGUGCCCCCAUGGCCAUGUGACAGCAGACGCUGAAGCCAAGUACGAGAAAGAGACAAAUCUGGGCUCUGAACCAGCCUGUGUGGUUCAAGGCAUUCCGUAAACAAUUUUUAGUGAGGCUGGGUACAAACAUAACACAAUGCCGCCUUCCUAAACAAUUAAUUCUGCAAGUCCACAGACCCACGCGUGAGAGAGAACGAUGUUUGUGAGCAACGGACAGAGCCAGGAGCAAGAAGCAGAACCGUGCUUCUCCGCGCUCCUUUCACCAAAUCAGGACAGGAGACACGAGUCCUGCUGCCCGGUCCAGAGCUCUGCGUUCUCUCCCUUGUUCUCUUUUUGCCUGCUCCUUUCCUACGCCACACCACACCGGUCCACUGAGCCGUGCCACUGCCAGCCCCAGCAGCACUCACCAGAAGGGUAGAUGGUGUCCAGAGCGACCUUCCUGGCACGGAUGAACCUGCCCACCUGCUCCAGGUCCCCCUGCCUGAUGUGGUCCUGAAAGACGACGUCGUUGGGGAAGCGCACGGUGCGCGAUGCUCUCAGUCUCUGUCUAUACCGACUGUACCGGGGCAUCGAGACGGGGAAAUAGUCCUUCAUGCUGAGCGCAGCCUUAGGCCGCUGCCGAGGAAGAAGGGGGCAGAGGCAUGUGGGGGGCUGUAGGACAGCCCGGUGGGUCAGUGCUCAGCACUCGCUGGCCUCGAAGCACUGCUCUCCUCUUCUGCCUCGUGGUCCCGUUUCACCAGUUGGGUGGUGGGCGCUGAGCCGGGCGCUGCCGCCGGCCCUCCUGGGGCCUGUCCCUGCUGGAGCCUGUCCCCUCCUGGGGCCUGUCUCAGGUGCUUGUCCCUCGCCGCAGGGCCCCUCGCAGCGUGCAGGGGUGGUGCUGGCCUCGUGCAGCUCCCUCAGGCUCUGGGCCCAGGACUGAGGGCUCCCCCGGCGCAUGGCGUUAUAUAGGCUCCCGCGGGCUAUUUUGGGUUGGUGCAGCUCAUGCUAUUUGCCGUGAUACUUUGUAAUCGAGCCGCCCAGGCCCGUAGCCUCCCACUUUUGGGCAGAGGAUGACGGCUCAUCUUACUGCCCACCUGUUGAUGUGCCCAUCCAAGGGGUCAAAUCCAUUGCAUGGCUAGCCUUCAGAGCAGCCCAGGGCCCCGAAAACAGAACUGCCCCACAGUAUGUCCUCACAGCACCAUGAGCACGCCAGGGAGAAGACAAAAAUCUGCUCAGCAGGCGAGGGGAGCUGGCCGCACACGUACUGAGUAGCGAGCCUAACAGACAUGUCAUCGCCGCGGUGCCGAAUGCAUUCGGAGCCACGUCACUUUCCUGUCGGUGCGCCAGCUGACUGGAAGGGAGCAGCAUGAGCUGUGCUUCCCCACACGACCACAGGACGAGUGCAGCGAGGCACGGAGCACGCUGCAGCACCGCGGUACCGCCGGUGACCUCGUGAGGCCGGGGCUGCUGCUGCUGCUCCUGAUGCAGACACAGAACCAGAGUACGGUGCCUGCCCUCAGUGCCCAGCGCCGCAGUCCUGCUUCAGACUUCGCACUGGCAUUUCAGACACACGAGCACGGUGCCUUGUUUCUCACUGACGGGGCCUGCCCAGCAGCACGUCAGGAGCAAUCCCUGUCCCACGCUGUCAGAGCAUUCAACUGCGCUGCUGCAGCUUCACCCCGUGCCAAGCCCCCACCAGGUCGGCCCAUCUCACACCUGGGAACUGCCUGCUGCAGCUCUCCGUCUUCUGGCAAAUACAGCGAUCUUCUCGCUGUGUCUGCUCAGCCCUGCUUCAGGCACCACACGACAGGAGGCUGAACUGGCUGCUGCCAAGUCAGACCACUUGCAGCCCUGCUGUCUCGCAGCAGCGACGAGUUGUGUACACAAGAUGCCUCCCAUGGAGCCCUGCUCCAAGAGCAGCCGUGGUGCAUGAGAAAAGCUCCCCUCCUCUGAGCAGGUCUCAGACUAUAAACAAAAGAGAACCGCCACAGAGCGGCAGUCUUGUUUACAUUUUUAGUCACUCCACAAAAUGGACUUUUUUGAGCUGAUUUCUAGGCAGGAGCACUCCCAUGGAAAGUCUUACUCACUUCUCUUUCUCUCCUCCCUCAAAAUGCAAAGCAGUUUUCUUAUUCAAAGCUGCUGCUAACAGCCAGCCCUUGGAGGCCAGAGAGCCCCUGCCCUCUUCAGGUGUCACAGCGUUUAUCAGCAGCCCCAGCACUGCUGCACACCAGAACAGGACCAAGAAGGGUCCUUGCUCCCAGGUAACUGCCCAGUCAGAGCCCAGUGUUGUGCCACACUUGUGUUCUACCAUUCCAGUGCGCCCACAUUAGGUGACUGGCACCGGUAGCCUCCUGAGGUGCCCUCCAGAUUCACUAGGCCUCCCCAUGUGACAUUUAUAGCAUAUUUCCUUACAAAAAUAUUUUCAGCAGUAAGUGACUGGUGUGGAAAUAGCAGUGUAGCUCACUGGAUCAUGUGAGCCUGACUAGCGGCACUAGGGGCAGUCCCAGGUUCCCCUGUAGGCAAAUUCCUCGGUUAACUGCUCAGGAGCAGUGAGGUCCCACCACCCCAAGCCAGCUGGCAGGCAGAGCAGCUUACACUCAGCAGCCCCGCCAAUGCAUGCUUACUGCUCAGAGCUGGUAAUUGUGUACCUCCAACAGCUCUUUUAAUCUGAGCCUGAUGUGGUCAUCUUAAAUUUCCCAUGUAUAGAUUAGUUAAUGGAAGUUGCUUCAUGCUGCGUAAGGCAUCAACAGCCACCUGCAGAAUUGGAUGUGCUCAGAAACUAGUUUCUCCCAAAAAUAUAGUAUCUAGUAAGAGCUUGAAAAGGUGAUGGUCUUUUCUAACACCACUUUGGCAGAAUCAGUUGAGAACCAUCCUGGAACUCUGAUCUUCUUCCAGCUCAGGUCCAAAUAUUUAUUCCGGGUCCCAAUAGACAAAGACAGAGUAGUAUUAAAAUCUCAACUUUAUUUGGCCGACAAAUGCAGUUCCAAUGUUAUUAUAGCGGAAUGCUAAGAGCAAGCCUGACACUGAUCAGGCCUUUGAGGCACUCCCUUGUUCAAGUUCCUCCCCCAAACCCAGUAAUUUGAAGUCCCAUGUUUGUUUUGCAUUUGAUGUGUUUUUAAUCAGGCCCUCCCACCCCCCACCUGCCUGGUCAACCCAUUCAAAAUAAUGCAUGUAAAGUGACUGCAAAAUAGUCUCGCAUUUGAUCAAAAGGAUGGCAACACAGCAAGGUCUCAUCUAAGCUGGUAAGCCAGCAAUCACCUCCACCCUCAGAGCCUGCCACAGCCAGUGCACAUAGUAUUCCACCCUUCCAGGUGUUUCAAACAGUCAUCUCUAAAUGUCUUAAAGUACAGGGAAAAGCUGGCCUACAUGAAGAGAAGCACCUUCAUAACCACCUUCCACCAGGACUGAUGCAGUCAGCCUAAUCCUUCUUCCCUUACAGAUGAAGGCUCCAGGGAAGAACAGCUGAGACCAAUAAGGAACCUGCCAGGUGGUAAAAAUCAGCUACAGGCUUUAGUUUUCAAAGAUAAAAGGAAAAAGCUUUCUUGGAAGGUAUUAGUGGCAAGGCUCCAAAAUGUUGGGCUAUUAAACUCAUGCUACCACUUCACAACCUGCUUCUAUCCAGAAGAACAGAAUACUUGAAACAAAAAGCUGUGUACAAAAAAAGUACAUCACAAUAAAAAAA